rnacentral:rRNA from 1 species
GACGAACGCUGGCGGCGUGCUUUACACAUGCAAGUCGAACGGUGAAGGUGGAGCUUGCUCCGCCGGAUCAGUGGCGAACGGGUGAGUAACACGUGGGCAACCUGCCCCUAACUUUGGGAUAACUACUCGAAAGAGUAGCUAAUACCGGAUAUGAAGUCUGUAGGCAUCUACGGAUUUGGAAAGUUUUUCGGUUAGGGAUGGGCCCGCGGCCUAUCAGCUUGUUGGUGAGGUAGUGGCUCACCAAGGCGACGACGGGUAGCCGGCCUGAGAGGGCGGCCGGCCGCACUGGGACUGAGACACGGCCCAUACUCCUACGGGAGGCAGCAGUGGGGAAUAUUGCGCAAUGGGCGAAAGCCUGACGCAGCAACGCCGCGUGCGGGAUGAAGGCCUUCGGGUUGUAAACCGCUUUCAGCAGGGAAGAAGCGAAAGUGACGGUACCUGCAGAAGAAGGACCGGCCAACUACGUGCCAGCAGCCGCCGUAA